CUACGGGGUGCAGCAGUGGGGAAUAUUGGACAAUGGGGGAAACCCUGAUCCAGCAAUGCCGCGUGUGUGAAGAAGGCCUGCGGGUUGUAAAGCACUUUCGGUUGGGAGGACUGCUUCUAGCACUAAUAUUGUUGGAAGUUGACGUUACCUUCAGAAGAAGCACCGGCUAACUCCGUGCCAGCAGCCGCGGUAAUACGGAGGGUGCACGCGUUAAUCGGAAUUACUGGGCGUAAAGCGCGCGUAGGCGGCUAGAUCAGUCGGGUGUGAAAGCCCCGGGCUUAACCUGGGAACUGCAUCCGAUACUGUCUAGCUUGAGUACAGGAGAGGAGAGUGGAAUUCCACAUGUAUCGGUGAAAUGCGUAGAUAUGUGGAGGAACACCAAUGGCGAAGGCAGCUCUCUGGCCUGAUACUGACGCUGAGGUGCGAAAGCGUGGGGAGCAAACAGGAUUAGAUACCCGUGUAGUC
rnacentral:rRNA from 1 species